rnacentral:rRNA from 1 species
UCCGUAGGUGAACCUGCGGAAGGAUCAUUGAAGAA